rnacentral:rRNA from 1 species
AAAGUGGGGGAUCUUCGGACCUCACGCUAUUAGAUGAGCCUAGRUCGGAUUAGCUAGUUGGUGAGGUAAUGGCUCACCAAGGCGACGAUCCGUAACUGGUCUGAGAGGAUGAUCAGUCACACUGGAACUGAGACACGGUCCAGACUCCUACGGGAGGCAGCAGUGGGGAAUAUUGGACAAUGGGCGAAAGCCUGAUCCAGCCAUGCCGCGUGUGUGAAGAAGGUCUUCGGAUUGUAAAGCACUUUAAGUUGGGAGGAAGGGCAGUUACCUAAUACKUGWUUKUUUUGACGUUACCGACAGAAUAAGCACCGGCUAACUCUGUGCCAGCAGCCGCGGUAAUA